rnacentral:misc_RNA from 1 species
AGCAACAGGGUCUUGCCAAGAUAAUUUUUGUUUUCCCAACCGAGAAGUGUCUUCUCCAACAUUUCUACACACCAAUAGCUUCACAUCAUCAUUGAGGUUUUGGAUUGGACUUCUCUUUGGCUCCUCGAGCUGCACCUGCUCAGAAUUUCCAUCUCUUUCCUCUUCUCCCAUCGAGAUCUCAUUCAAAUCAAAGACCGGAGCACGAGUGGGCAAUGCAGUUUCUUUGCCACUAUGACCAGCAUCCUGAUUUAAAUCAAAAGUUGGCGAGCUGCUCUGUAAGAUAGCAUUGUCUGCGAUGCACAAUCUCUCAUCCUGCUUCAAAUCAUAGGCUGGAGCUCCUUUUCGGGAUGACACAUCCUUUCCCCUAUAUACUCUUGAUUUACGGUUCAACUCUAAAUCUGCAUUGCGAAAAACAGAUUCUUG